rnacentral:rRNA from 1 species
UACGUAGGGGGCAAGCGUUGUCCGGAUUUAUUGGGCGUAAAGAGCUCGUAGGCGGUUCAGUAAGUCAGGUGUGAAAUCUUUGGGCUUAACCCAAAGCGUGCACUUGAUACUGCUGUGACUUGAGUUCGGUAGGGGAGUGGGGAAUUCCCGGUGUAGCGGUGAAAUGCGUCGAUAUCGGGAGGAACACCUGUGGCGAAAGCGGCUCACUGGACCACAACUGACGCUGAGGCGCGAAAGCUAGGGGAGCAAACAGG